rnacentral:rRNA from 1 species
UCGACCCGUCUUGUAACACGGACAAAGGAGUCUAACAUAUGUGCGAGUGUUGGGGUGUCAAACCCAGGCGCGUAAUGAAAGUGAAGCGGCGUCGCUUGCGGCGUUGCGUGGUGGGACGGCGGCCCCUCGGGGUGGCCUGCACCAUCGACCGAUCAUGAUUCUUUGAUGAAAGAUUUGAGUUUGAGCAUAUCUGUUGGGACCCGAAAGAUGGUGAA